rnacentral:rRNA from 1 species
CCCUUAGAUGUUCUGGGCCGCACGCGCGCUACACUGACGAAUGCAACGAGCUUAUAACCUUGACCGAAAGGUCUGGGUAAUCUCCAAAUUUCGUCGUGAUGGGGAUAGAUUAUUGCAAUUAUUAAUCUUCAACGAGGAAUGCCUAGUAAGCGCAAGUCAUCAGCUUGCGUUGAUUACGUCCCUGCCCUUUGUACACACCGCCCGUCGCUCCUACCGAUUGAAUGGUCCGGUGAAGCGCUCGGACCGCGGCCUCUUGACGGUUUUCCGUCGAUUGGCUGUGGGAAGUUCGUUAAACCUUAUCAUUUAGAGGAAGGAGAAGUCGUANCA